AUUGAACGCUGGCGGCAGGCCUAACACAUGCAAGUAGAACGAGUGGCGGACGGGUGAGUAAUGUCUGGGAAACUGCAUGAUGGAUGGGGAUAACUACUGGAAACGGUAGCUAAUACCGCAUACCAUCGGAUGUGCCCAGAUGGGAUUAGCUAGUAGGUGGGGUAAAGGCUCACCUAGGCGACGAUCCCUAGCUGGUCUGACAGGAGGACCAGCCACACUGGACCUGAAACACGGCCAAGAUUCCUAGGGGAGGAAGCAGUGGGGAAUAUUGCACAAUGGGCGCAAGCCUGAUGCAGCCAUGCGGCGUGUAUGAAGAAGGCCUUCGGGUUGUAAAGUACGUUCAUCGGGGAGGCGUUACCCGCAGAAGAAGCACCGGCUAACUCCGUGCCAGCAGCCGCGGUAAUAC
rnacentral:rRNA from 1 species